CUAUACAUGACUCUGCGCAUAUCAAUAAGCGGAGGAAAAGAAACUAACAAGGAUUCCCUUAGUAACGGCGAGUGAAGCGGGAAGAGCUCAAAUUUGAAAUCUUCAAGGUUCUACCUUGACGAAUUGUAGUUUAUAGAAGUGUUUUCUGUUAGUGGAGUGGCAAGAGUUCUUUGGAAUAGGACAUCAUAGAGGGUGAGAAUCCCGUAUUUGGUCAUUCCUCCUAGCGUUGUGAUACACUUUCAACGAGUCGGAUUGUUUGGGAAUGCAGUCCAAAAUGGGUGGUAAAUUUCAUCUAAAGCUAAAUAUUGGCGAGAGACCGAUAGCGAACAAGUACCGUGAGGGAAAGAUGAAAAGAACUUUGAAAAGAGAGUUAAACAGUACGUGAAAUUGUCAAAAGGGAAGCGUUUGACACCAGUGUUGUUUUUCCGAAAAUCAAUUACGAAUGUUUUGUUUUUGAGAAGUUAUGACUUCAUCGGCUUGCUUCUCUCUUUACGAAACUUUCUUAAUGCACUUUUCGGUUAACAAGUCAACAUCAAUUUCUUUUGUUGUAAAAGGGUUAUUGGAAGGUGGCUUUCUCUUCGGAGAAAGUGUUUAUAGCCUUUAACCUCUGCAAUCGGAGAGAUUGAGGUCUGCAGCGUAGAUCCUUCGGGGUUAGAUACAUUUGUGCUAAGUUAUAGCCUUUCAUAGACAACUUGUUGACUAUGAUCAGUCAUGUAGCUUACUCGCUUAUGCUAUUUUACCUACGCUUAGGAUGUUGACGAGACUGUCGAUCUCAUCUAUACAUGACUCUGCGCAUAUCAAUAAGCGGAGGAAAAGCUGCGAACUGACUGUACCUACCUACGCUUAGGAUGUUGACGAGACUGUCGAUCUC
rnacentral:rRNA from 1 species